rnacentral:rRNA from 1 species
GAUGAACGCUGGCGGCGUGCCUAAUACAUGCAAGUCGAGCGAACGGACGAGAAGCUUGCUUCUCUGAUGUUAGCGGCGGACGUGUGAGUAACACGUGGAUAACCUACCUAUAAGACUGGGAUAACUUCGGGAAACCGGAGCUAAUACCGGAUAAUAUUUUGAACCGCAUGGUUCAAAAGUGAAAGACGGUCUUGCUGUCACUUAUAGAUGGAUCCGCGCUGCAUUAGCUAGUUGGUAAGGUAACGGCUUACCAAGGCAACGAUGCAUAGCCGACCUGAGAGGGGGAUCGGCCACACUGGAACUGAGACACGGUCCAGACACCUACGGGAGGCAGCAGUAGGGAAUCUUCCGCAAUGGGCGAAAGCAUGACGGAGCAACGCCGCGUGAGUGAUGAAGGUCUUCGGAUCGUAAAACUCUGUUAUUAGGGAAGAACAUAUGUGUAAGUAACUGUGCACAUCUUGACGGUACCUAAUCAGAAAGCCACGGCUAACUACGUG